UACGGAGGAUGCGAGCGUUAUCCGGAAUUACUGGGUGUAAAGGGAGCGUAGACGGUAAUGUAAGUCUGGAGUGAAAGGCGGGGGCCCAACCCCCGGACUGCUCUGGAAACUAUGUUACUGGAGUGCAGGAGAGGUAAGCGGAAUUCCUAGUGUAGCGGUGAAAUGCGUAGAUAUUAGGAGGAACACCAGUGGCGAAGGCGGCUUACUGGACUGUAACUGACGCUGAGGCACGAAAGUGUGGGGAGCAAACAGG
rnacentral:rRNA from 1 species